AACGAUGACGGUGAGGCGAAGCAGUGGUGGUGUGGUGUGGUUUUUAAGGAGUUAGGGUUUUUUUUCUUUUGGAGAAGAAGAAGAAAAAGGGUUUGGAGAUUUAGGGAUUUGGGUGUUUUAUUUUUUCUUUUUUUCUCUUUUUUUCUUGUGGCCUGUUUGGGCCUCUUGUCCAUUUCUUUUUUUUAUUUGCUUAGGGUUAGCUAGGCUAUUCGGCCCAAUUCUCUUCUUCCUUUUUUUUUCUUUGGGUUCUGUUUGGGCUUAUAGGGGUUUUGGAUCUUGGCAUUAAGUAUUGGGUUAAUUAUGUAGGUAAUUUGGAUUUGUAUUUGGGUAAGUGGAUUUGGUUUACGUAAGGGGUAGGUAUUGGGUUGGUGGAUGGGUGUUGGAUUUGGGUUUUGGGGUUUUUUUAAAGGGUAGGGAUGUUAGUUUUUUUUUACUUUGUAGGUAAAUAACUG
rnacentral:lncRNA from 1 species